rnacentral:lncRNA from 10 species
GAGGAGGUGUAAUGGAUUUAGCAAGAUAAAGACUUGGACCCACAGAAAAAGAAACACACACACAUCCACAUGCACACGUGAUCCUCACGGAAAAUUAGACUUCACUUCCACCUCUUGAGGUGGGAAUUGUAGUCUUACUGAAAUUACAGAGACGAAGCUACGGUCAUAUUACACAAAGCUGUAUCUAUCAGUGAAGGGUGGCCUCUUGGGAAUGAACUAUUUAAACAACAAUUGCGUGUCCAGAAUUCAUGAGAAUAUGGCGAUGGUGGUGGACGUCAGUGUCAUGAUAUUAAUAUAUUCCAGCGGACUUGAACACCCAUCUUACUAGCCGACUUUUGCUGUCAACUGUCUCCCUUGCUGGCUUUGAUGGAGUAAGCUGCCAUAGAGAGAGGUCCUGGAGAAGAACUGAGGGUGGCCUCUGGCUGAGGGCCCACAAGAAGCUGAGGCCCUCAGGCCAACAACCCUCAAGGAACUGAAUUCUGUCAACAACCACAUGAUUUUGGAAGCAGAACCUUCCCCGGUCAAGCUGCAGAUAAGAUCCCCAGCCCUGACUGACUCCCGGAUUAAAGCACCGUAAGAGAAUCUAAAACAGAGGAAUCAGCUAAACUGUGCCUGGACUCCUGACCCACAGGAACUGUGAAAUAAUAAAUGUGCUGUUUAAAAGUACGAAGUUUGUGGUAAUUUGUUAUGCAGCAGUAGAUAAGUAACACAACAAAGCAGUUAUAACCUUCUGUACCUGACAUCCUGUGAGCAUGACAAUACUCUUCUUAUGAUACCAGCAUUACACAUGUAACAGAAACCACUCCAUUAUGACAUACACAAACAUAUUGUAAGCUGCUGUUACUAUGCUGGGUUGAGAAUUAUUCAUCUUUCUAGAACUCCUAGGGUACUUGUUCUGUAUUUAGAUUCUCAUUUAAUCAGGACUCAUUUCCAGGCUUCUUCCUGCUGAUUGUAAAUACCAUGCUCACACACACAGGCCCACACUCACACACACAGGUCCACACUCACACACACAGGCCCACACUCACACACACACAUCCACACUCACACACAGGCCCACACUCACACACACAGGUCCACUCUCACACACAGGCCCACACUCACACAGGCCCACGUUCACACACACAGGUCCACAUUCACACACAAGAUCCACACUCACACACACAGGUCCUGCAUCUCGCUGAAUUUAAUUAAGGAUCAACCUGAAAUAAAAU